rnacentral:lncRNA from 1 species
AUUCAUUCAUUAUUCUUUUGAAAUUCAUUCAUCAAUAAUCAAGUUUAAUGCUUCUUCAACAAUACACAGUUUUUACAUAUUGUAAGUUAGGUCAAAGUGCAUAUUUUAUUUUUAACGGUUGUAGUCAUAUUACAUGACUCACUCCAUAAAACAACACAAUUCAUUUCCAGUUCAUGGAUCACAUGAUCCACCUUUUGGAUAUCCCCUCGAUUUGCAAUUAGCAUCACAAUUUGGACUACAAUCCUCUAUAUAGAUAGCAUUUGUGUGACAUAGAGUUGGGUGACAUUGAUGAUAUUGAUCAAUCACAAUGUCACAAUGCUUGUGGAAGAAAGAGAAACACAAACAUUAUGAUUGAUCAAUAUCACCUAACUUUAUGUCACUCAAGUGCUACCUCCUCUAUACAGCAAACUCGCCUGUUUUCUUUACUCUGGAGAACGCAACUUGAAUCUAAUGUUGGAAUUCUCAAACUUGUAACAAAUCCUGAACAAACAAAAAAAAUUAAAAGUUUUAUGCACAUUAAUAUCAUUAGGACUUCAUAAAAUAGUUGUAGAAUCAUUUUUAUCUAAAAAUCAAACUAUUUAUUUUUUCUGUUCAAUAUUAAAACUAUGGAUAGUAAUAUAACAAAUACUUAUCUUCACGCGCGUUUCCAUCACUUCAUCUCUGUCAAGUUACUCUGUAUGACUGUAUCCAUGUUCUAAACCUUAAAGCAUGAUUUUAUUUUUAUUUUAAAAUUGGAAGAGUCAAAAUUAGAUAUACAAAGACAUCUCAAAUCAGCUUCAUAAAAAAAAUAAAAAAAAUAAAAGGAAGUCAUGGACGUCUCUCUCUAACCUUUUCAAAACCUCAUUUACAAAUUCUCACUUCAAUUUCUUCAAUUACACUCAAUUGAACUCUAAUUGCUCUCAAAUCUAUGAAAAAAAUCAUAAGAAUUGAAGAAAUAAAAACUUAAUUCGUACUUGUUCUGCUCACCCUUUUCCCAAAAAACAAAGAGAAGGUAUGAUUUCUGCAAUAGUUUUGUUAACCACUAAUCUUGGAUUUUAAAAAAAAAAAUCUCAUUUUUUUUUUUGAAAAAGCUAAACUAACCCCUCAAAUUAACACCAGAGAGAAUCGAACCUGAGACCUUGAGGAGGAGCAUACUCCCAGGUUCCAAGCCAAUACCACUAGGCCAACAAAGAGAAUGGUGUUGCAUUACUUAAAGGUGAGAUAGAAGAGAGAGAAAAGUAUAAUUGAAAAGAAAAAGAAGAAGGAAGUGGAAAUAGAGUGUCGUGCCGUUUUAAAUGAAAAGUAGAUCAGAGCCGUUUAUUUAUAUAACCAAAUAAUUGAUGUGAAAAAGUGGGAUGUAUUUCUCCCUUAUCUAGAUUCUAUUUCCUCUCUGUAUUCUAAUUUGUGAUCACUAUCCCCAAUUAGUUCAUAUAUUGGGAGUGAUUUAUUUCAGUCGAUAUUUA